UCCAUUGUCUUGGAGCAGGGCCACCCUCACACAGGAAGCUGUGUGUAUCACUGCUCACUGCAGGCAGAAACGCUGCAAAGGCCUUCCUAUGACUGAUAAACGGUGUUUGGUUUGGAUCGGGAGGAAAAAUAAGGCGCUCGGGAUAACAGGGGGCCGGUGGGAAAACAUUUGGAACUCCAGAAUGAGAGCAAAAGAAGAGACCGCUUUGAAGGUUCCAUGAGGUGGUUAACUAACAAGGAACAAUGAGGGCAGCCCAGGCAGGGGCUUCCUUCCACCCAGCUGCAGUCAAAGCCACCGGUGGCCAGGGAGCUGGCAGGAACCCUGUUAUGGCUGGGGAGAACAAACAGGCUUGGUCAAGGAAGCCAAGCCCCCUUCAAAGAACUACGCCCCAACCCCCACGGCUUCAGGAGCGUUUGCUGACAAGGUCUAGGCUCACAGAAGACAAGGAGGCUGGAUUUUCUGUGACGAGUGGAGACAAAAUCUGAACAGCUUGGUGAGAGAAGGGAUGGUGAUUGAAGGUAUAAGAAAAGGACUGUGUCAGUUUGGGUCCCUGAUCCAGGGACCAGGGCUGCCAGAUCCUGCAGUUGGGAAGUUGUCUGGCUGUACCAGCACCUUGUGUACCCACCGGGCCCCUGGGGCUGUAGUAGGCAGCUGUUGGCAUUAACUGAAUUAUCUGCAGAGGAUAUAAUCAGAGAUCCUUCUCUCAUAUCCAGAGAAUGCCUAAAACCACAGAUGGUAUUGAAUUGUAUUAAAAUUGUGUGUUUCCUGUACACAUAUACUUAUGCUAAAGUUUCACCAUAGUAAUAAAGUGCUCAAUCAAAGCAA
rnacentral:lncRNA from 1 species